rnacentral:rRNA from 1 species
CCCUUAGAUGUUCUGGGCCGCGCGCGUGCUACACUGACCGGCGCAACAAGCUUUUUUCCUUGGCUCGACAGGCCUGGGUAAUCUUCGAACGCCGGUCGUGAUGGGGAUAGAUCCUUGCAAUUUUUGAUCUUCAACGAGGAAUUCCUAGUAAAUGCGAGUCAUCAUCUCGCGUUGAUUACGUCCCUGCCCUUUGUACACACCGCCCGUCGCUACUACCGAUUGAACGUUUUAGUGAGGUACUCGGACUGAGCCUCAGAAGAUUCACGUCUUUUGUGCUGCUCGGGAAGAUUCCCAAACUUGAGCGUUUAGAGGAAGUAAAAGUCGUAACA